rnacentral:rRNA from 1 species
AUUGAACGCUGGCGGCAUGCCUUACACAUGCAAGUCGAACGGUAACGGGCCUUCGGGUGCCGACGAGUGGCGAACGGGUGAGUAAUGUAUCGGAACGUACCUUUCAGUGGGGGAUAACGUAGCGACAGUUACGCUAAUACCGCAUAUUCUGUGAGCAAGAAAGCAGGGGAUCGCAAGACCUUGCGCUGAUUGAGCGGCCGAUAUCAGAUUAGCUAGUUGGUGAGGUAAAGGCUCACCAAGGCGACGAUCUGUAGCGGGUCUGAGAGGAUGAUCCGCCACACUGGAACUGAGACACGGUCCAGACUCCUACGGGAGGCAGCAGUGGGGAAUUUUGGACAAUGGGGGCAACCCUGAUCCAGCCAUGCCGCGUGAGUGAAGAAGGCCUUCGGGUUGUAAAGCUCUUUCGGCCGGGAAGAAAUCGUAUCAGCUAAUACCUGGUGUGGAUGACGGUACCGGCAUAAGAAGCACCGGCUAACUACGUGCCAGCCGCCGCGGUAAUAC